AGAGUUUGAUCCUGGCUCAGGACGAACGCUGGCGGCGUGCUUAAUACAUGCAAGUCGAACGAGGAAUAGAGAGCUUGCUCUCUAUAGCCGAGUGGCGAACGGGUGAGUAACACGUAGACGACCUGCCCUGAAGAGGGGGACAACCGGUGGAAACGCCGGCUAAUACCCCAUAUUUUUAGCGAUGUUAGAGGUUGCUAAAGAAAGUCUUCGGAUGCUUUAGGAGGGGUCUGCGGGCUAUCAGCUAGUUGGUGGGGUAAAGGCCUACCAAGGCGAAGACGGCUAGGGGGCGUGAGAGCGUGGCCCCCCACAAUGGGACUGAGACACGGCCCAUACUCCUACGGGAGGCAGCAGUAGGAAUAUUGCACAAUGGGGGAAACCCUGAUGCAGCAAUGCCGCGUGGGUGAUGAAGGCUUUCGGGUCGUAAAGCCCUUUUCUGUGUGAAGAGAGAGGACGGUAGCACAGGAAUAAGUUCCGGCUAACUACGUGCCAGCAGCCGCGGUAAUACGUAGGGAGCAAGCGUUAUCCGGAUUUACUGGGCGUAAAGCGCGUGUAGGCGGCUUGAUAAGAUAGAUGUGAAAGCUCCUGGCUCAACUAGGAGAGGUCAUUUAUGACUGUCAGGCUUGAGUGUGGUAGAGGAGAGCAGAAUUCCCGGUGUAGUGGUGGAAUGCGUAGAGAUCGGGAGGAAUACCAGUGGCGAAGGCGGCUCUCUGGGCCACAACUGACGUUGAGACGCGAAAGCGUGGGUAGCGAACGGGAUUAGAUACCCCGGUAGUCCACGCUGUAAACGAUGGAUACUAGGUGUAGCGGGUAUAGACCCCUGCUGUGCCGUAGCAAACGCGAUAAGUAUCCCGCCUGGGGACUACGGUCGCAAGACUAAAACUCAAAGGAAUUGACGGGGGCCCGCACAAGCAGCGGAGCGUGUGGUUUAAUUCGAUGAUACGCGAAGAACCUUACCUGGGUUUGACAUAUAGGUGGUAGCGAAGUGAAAGUGGAGCGACCCUUCGGGGAGCCUAUACAGGUGUUGCAUGGCUGUCGUCAGCUCGUGUCGUGAGAUGUUGGGUUAAGUCCCGCAACGAGCGCAACCCACGUCGUUAGUUACAAGUGUCUAACGAGACAGCCGGUAUCAAACCGGAGGAAGGUGUGGACGACGUCAAGUCAGCAUGACCUUUAUAUCCAGGGCGACACACACGCUACAAUGGCCGGUACAGCAGGCAGCCACAUCGCGAGAUGGAGCUAAUCCUCAAAGCCGGUCGUAGUUCGGAUAGCAGUCUGCAACUCGACUGCUUGAAGGUGGAGUUGCUAGUAAACGCGCGUCAGCCAUAGCGCGUUGAAUACGUUCCCGGGCCUUGUACACACCGCCCGUCACGUCAUGGGAGCUGGUAACGCCUGAAGAGGGUGACCUAACCGCAAGGAAGGAGCUUUCUAGGGUGGGACUGGUGACUGGGACGAAGUCGUAACAAGGUA
rnacentral:rRNA from 1 species